rnacentral:rRNA from 1 species
GAUGAACGCUGGCGGCGUGCCUAAUACAUGCAAGUCGAGCGAACAGACGAGGAGCUUGCUCCUUUGACGUUAGCGGCGGACGGGUGAGUAACACGUGGGUAACCUACCUAUAAGACUGGGAUAACUUCGGGAAACCGGAGCUAAUACCGGAUAAUAUUUCGAACCGCAUGGUUCGAUAGUGAAAGAUGGCUUUGCUAUCACUUAUAGAUGGACCUGCGCCGUAUUAGCUAGUUGGUAAGGUAACGGCUUACCAAGGCAACGAUACGUAGCCGACCUGAGAGGGUGAUCGGCCACACUGGAACUGAGACACGGUCCAGACUCCUACGGGAGGCAGCAGUAGGGAAUCUUCCGCAAUGGGCGAAAGCCUGACGGAGCAACGCCGCGUGAGUGAUGAAGGUCUUCGGAUCGUAAAACUCUGUUAUUAGGGAAGAACAAACGUGUAAGUAACUGUGCACGUCUUGACGGUACCUAAUCAGAAAGCCACGGCUAACUACGUGCCAGCAGCCGCGGUAAUACGUAGGUGGCAAGCGUUAUCCGGAAUUAUUGGGCGUAAAGCGCGCGUAGGCGGUUUUUUAAGUCUGAUGUGAAAGCCCACGGCUCAACCGUGGAGGGUCAUUGGAAACUGGAAAACUUGAGUGCAGAAGAGGAAAGUGGAAUUCCAUGUGUAGCGGUGAAAUGCGCAGAGAUAUGGAGGAACACCAGUGGCGAAGGCGACUUUCUGGUCUGUAACUGACGCUGAUGUGCGAAAGCGUGGGGAUCAAACAGGAUUAGAUACCCUGGUAGUCCACGCCGUAAACGAUGAGUGCUAAGUGUUAGGGGGUUUCCGCCCCUUAGUGCUGCAGCUAACGCAUUAAGCACUCCGCCUGGGGAGUACGACCGCAAGGUUGGAACUCAAAGGAAUUGACGGGGACCCGCACAAGCGGUGGAGCAUGUGGUUUAAUUCGAAGCAACGCGAAGAACCUUACCAAAUCUUGACAUCCUUUGACCCUUCUAGAGAUAGAAGUUUCCCCUUCGGGGGACAAAGUGACAGGUGGUGCAUGGUUGUCGUCAGCUCGUGUCGUGAGAUGUUGGGUUAAGUCCCGCAACGAGCGCAACCCUUAAGCUUAGUUGCCAUCAUUAAGUUGGGCACUCUAAGUUGACUGCCGGUGACAAACCGGAGGAAGGUGGGGAUGACGUCAAAUCAUCAUGCCCCUUAUGAUUUGGGCUACACACGUGCUACAAUGGACAAUACAAAGGGCAGCGAAACCGCGAGGUCAAGCAAAUCCCAUAAAGUUGUUCUCAGUUCGGAUUGUAGUCUGCAACUCGACUACAUGAAGCUGGAAUCGCUAGUAAUCGUAGAUCAGCAUGCUACGGUGAAUACGUUCCCGGGUCU